rnacentral:lncRNA from 1 species
AUUUAGUGUUGUUGUUGUUGUGGUCGUGAAGGUUUUUUGAAGCUUUCAUGGCUUCCCUUCAUGUUCUUCAUGAGGAAGAAGAAGGUGGAGGUUGAAGACGAUGACGUGGCGACGCGUCAUUGGCUCCCUCCAGUUUUAAGUUAUGACCGUUAAAUUAUUAUAAAACGAUCCAAAGGCUCAGAUCUAUUUUGAUUUGUUAAAUCCUAGCCAUCUGAUGGAUCAGAAGGCCGACAUCUGAGAUCUGUAUCACGCGCCAUGGACUGGCGCGCACUGCAUCGUUUCUUCCUUUCUACUUUUUUU